GGGUGAUUCCCCUCUAAUCAGGGACUGAUUUAGACCUGGGACACCAGGUGGGUGCAAUUACUUAUCAGAUCGAACAGAAAAGCAGCAGUAGUCCGGCUCUCUUCGGGUGAGAUUGGACUACCCCUGGCGUAGAUACUGUGCGUACUUGAUUCAGAUCAACUUUCAGAUGCAUCUUCUAUGCUGUUCAGAUGAAUAACCCUUUAAUGGGGUCUAUAUAGCACAGAUUGUCAUACCAUGCCAUUGUUUUUCUAAGAAUGCAGUAUACUGAAAUAUUCUUUCUCUCCUUUCUUAUCGUCAUUGAUGCAAUCUCUGUGGUUACCACCCUUAAUGUUACCACUGGAUUCAACCUAAAACUGAAAUCAACUUCAUAGUCCGUGACGUCUGAAACAGAGAGGACUUGUGAAGGCAUACUAAAGACACAUUGGCUGGUGUUUGAGGAGAUUAGGGGACGACAGUAACAGACACAUUGGCUGGUGUUUGAGGAGAUUAGGGGACGACAGUAACAGACACAUUGGCUGGUGUUUGAGGAGAUUAGGGGACGACAGUAACAGACACAUUGGCUGGUGUUUGAGGUGAUGAGGGGACGACAGUAACAGACACAUUGGCUGGUGUUUGAGGAGAUUAGGGGACGACAGUAACAGACACAUUGGCUGGUGUUUGAGGAGAUUAGGGGACGACAGUAACAGACACAUUGGCUGGUGUUUGAGGUGAUGAGGGGACGACAGUAACAGACACAUUGGCUGGUGUUUGAGGUGAUGAGGGGACGACAGUAACAGACACAUUGGCUGGUGUUUGAGGAGAUUAGGGGACGACAGUAACAGACACAUUGGCUGGUGUUUGAGGGGACGACAGUAACAGACACAUUGGCUGGUGUUUGAGGGGACGACAGUAACAGACACAUUGGCUGGUGUUUGAGGAGAUGAGGGGACGACAGUAACAGACACAUUGGCUGGUGUUUGAGGAGAUUAGGGGACGACAGUAACAGACACAUUGGCUGGUGUUUGAGGUGAUGAGGGGACGACAGUAACAGACACAUUGGCUGGUGUUUGAGGAGAUUAGGGGACGACAGUAACAGACACAUUGGCUGGUGUUUGAGGAGAUUAGGGGACGACGACAGUAACAGACACAUUGGCUGGUGUUUGAGGAGAUUAGGGGACGACGACAGUAACAGACACAUUGGCUGGUGUUUGAGGAGAUGAGGGGAUGACAGUAACAGACACAUUGGCUGGUGUUUGAGGAGAUUAGGGGACGACGACAGUAACAGACACAUUGGCUGGUGUUUGAGGAGAUGAGGGGACGACAGUAACAGACACAGACGCUACUGAACCCUUUGUGUAGGAAGUCAGACGUCAUGAUGUGUAACCUCAUCUCUUCAUGUGAGCCGCACAACGGAGACUCACUAGUAGAUAUAGAAGGCUAUGAACUCGCCGUCUCCCGCCGUCUCCCGCCGUCUCCCGCCGUCUUCCGCCGUGCUAUUUACAAACGAACACGUUGAACUGUUCUGGGGAACUAAGGUAACCUUCAUAAUGUAAAAUAAUGUGGGCGGGUGACAUGAAGAACGCAAUCUGCUUUUUCUCCUUAUCUAUUGCACAUUAAUGUGAACAAACAGCUGACCCACACACACACACACUCACUCACUCACUCACUCACUCACUCACUCACUCACUCACUCACUCACUCACUCACUCACUCACUCACUCACUCACUCACUCACUCACUCACUCACUCACUCACCAACUCUAUUAGAUAUGGGGUGAUGAUGUGGUGGUUGAGAUGUCUGACAUCCUCCCUCUGUGUCUGUGUGUGUGAUUAUUAUUAUUAUUAUUAUUAUCAUCAUAAGGCUGAGAUUGACCUCAUUACCCAGACAAGGGAAUAACAACCUGGCUGCUGGUUGGUAAAUGAGACGGAGAACCUGGCUGCUGGUUGGUAAAUGAGACAGAGAACCUGGCUGCUGGUUGAUAAAUGAGACAGAGAACCUGGCUGCUGGUUGAUAAAUGAGACAGAGAACCUGGCUGCUGGUUGGUAAAUGAGACAGAGAACCUGGUUGGUAAAUGAGACCGAGAACCUGGCUGCUGGUUGAUAAAUGAGACAGAGAACCUGGCUGCUGGUUGAUAAAUGAGACAGAGAACCUGGCUGCUGGUUGGUAAAUGAGACAGAGAACCUGGUUGGUAAAUGAGACAGAGAACCUGGCUGCUGGUUGGGAAAUGAAACAGAGAACCUGGCUGCUGGUUGGGAAAUGAGACAGAGAACCUGGCUGCUGGUUGGGAAAUGAGACAGAGAACCUGGCUGCUGGUUGAUAAAUGAGACUGAGAACCUGGCUGCUGGUUGAUAAAUGAGACAGAGAACCUGGCUGCUGGUUGGUAAAUGAGACAGAGAACCUGGCUGCUGGUUGAUAAAUGAGACUGAGAACCUGGCUGCUGGUUGGUAAAUGAGACAGAGAACCUGGCUGCUGGUUGGUAAAUGAGACAGAGAACCUGGCUGCUGGUUGAUAAAUGAGACAGAGAACCUGGCUGCUGGUUGAUAAAUGAGACAGAGAACCUGGCUGCUGGUUGAUAAAUGAGACAGAGAACCUGGCUGCUGGUUGAUAAAUGAGACAGAGAACCUGGCUGCUGGUUGGUAAAUGAGACAGAGAACCUGGCUACUGGUUGGUAAAUGAGACAGAGAACCUGGCUGCUGGUUGGUAAAUGAGACAGAGAACCUGGCUGCUGGUUGAUAAAUGAGACAGAGAACCUGGCUGCUGGUUGAUAAAUGAGACAGAGAACCUGGCUGCUGGUUGAUAAAUGAGACCGAGAACCUGGCUGCUGGUUGGGAAAUGAGACAGAGAACCUGGCUGCUGGUUGGUAAAUGAGACAGAGAACCUGGUUGAUAAAUGAGACAGAGAACCUGGCUGCUGGUUGGUAAAUGAGACAGAGAACCUGGCUGCUGGUUGGGAAAUGAGACAGAGAACCUGGCUGCUGGUUGGUAAAUGAGACAGAGAACCUGGCUGCUGGUUGGUAAAUGAGACAGAGAACCUGGCUGCUGGUUGGUAAAUGAGACAGAGAACCUGGCUGCUGGUUGGGAAAUGAGACAGAGAACCUGGCUGCUGGUUGAUAAAUGAGACAGAGAACCUGGCUGCUGGUUGGUAAAUGAGACAGAGAACCUGGCUGCUGGUUGGUAAAUGAGACAGAGAACCUGGCUGCUGGUUGAUAAAUGAGACAGAGAACCUGGCUGCUGGUUGGUAAAUGAGACAGAGAACCUGGUUGGUAAAUGAGACCGAGAACCUGGCUGCUGGUUGGUAAAUGAGACAGAGAACCUGGCUGCUGGUUGGUAAAUGAGACAGAGAACCUGGCUGCUGGUUGGGAAAUGAGACAGAGAACCUGGCUGCUGGUUGGUAAAUGAGACAGAGAACCUGGCUACUGGUUGGUAAAUGAGACAGAGAACCUGGCUGCUGGUUGGUAAAUGAGACAGAGAACCUGGCUACUGGUUGAGAAAUGAGACAGAGAACCUGGCUGCUGGUUGGUAAAUGAGACAGAGAACCUGGCUACUGGUUGGUAAAUGAGACAGAGAACCUGGCUGCUGGUUGGUAAAUGAGACAGAGAACCUGGCUGCUGGUGGAUAAAUGAGACAGAGAACCUGGCUGCUGGUUGAUAAAUGAGAUAGAGAACCUGGCUGCUGGUUGGUAAAUGAGACAGAGAACCUGGCUUCUGGUUGAUAAAUGAGACAGAGAACCUGGCUGUUGGUUGAUAAAUGAGACAGAGAACCUGGCUGCUGGUUGGUAAAUGAGACAGAGAACCUGGCUGCUGGUGGAUAAAUGAGACAGAGAACCUGGCUGCUGGUUGAUAAAUGAGACAGAGAACCUGGCUGCUGGUUG